rnacentral:misc_RNA from 1 species
UUUUUUGAAAGGGUGCUUUUAUGAGAUAGAGCUUUUUUAGAUAAUGCUUUUUUAGAUAAUGCUGGGGAAGGUUUUCCGGUUUAUCUCGGAGGGCUUGUAGCUCAGUUGGUUAGAGCGCGCGCUUGAUAAGCGUGAGGUCGGAGGUUCAAGUCCUCCCAGGCCCACCAAUUUACCUAUCCAUUUGCCUUUAUCUGUUUAUUUGCCGAUUUAUCGGUCCAUUGAAUUUAAGUGUUGGUAGCAGUUUUAUAAUGAUGAGAAAUCAUGCUUAUAAAAGAACUCCUUAUAAAAGGCUUGUUUUUAAAAUGUGACGCUUAUCCAUUUCGCUUAGGUAAGAGAAACUUCAAGCGGUUCAAAUACAAAAGGCUUUAAGUUUUGCAAAACACUUUGAAUUUUGCAAAACACUUUGAAUUUUAAAGUGAUCCAAGUUCGUGAUCUCGAAUUUAAAAGUUUCGAAUGCUUUAUCCUUUUUUGGGGGCCGUAGCUCAGCUGGGAGAGCACCUGCUUUGCAAGCAGGGGG